ensembl:misc_RNA Metazoa_SRP Metazoan signal recognition particle RNA
GCUGGGCAUGGUGGCGUGUGCCUGUAAUCCCAGCUACUCAGGAGGCUGAGGCAGGGGAAUUGCUUGAACCUGGGAGGUGGAGGUUGCAGUGAGCCGAGAUCACACCACUGCUGCACUCCAGCCUGGGGAACAGAGCGAGACUCUGUCUCAA